rnacentral:rRNA from 1 species
CUUCGGUGGGGAUUAGUGGCGAACGGGUGAGUAACACGUGGGCAAUCUGCCCUUCACUCUGGGACAAGCCCUGGAAACGGGGUCUAAUACCGGAUAUCACUCCUGCAGGCAUCUGCGGGGGUCGAAAGCUCCGGCGGUGAAGGAUGAGCCCGCGGCCUAUCAGCUUGUUGGUGAGGUAAUGGCUCACCAAGGCGACGACGGGUAGCCGGCCUGAGAGGGCGACCGGCCACACUGGGACUGAGACACGGCCCAGACUCCUACGGGAGGCAGCAGUGGGGAAUAUUGCACAAUGGGCGAAAGCCUGAUGCAGCGACGCCGCGUGAGGGAUGACGGCCUUCGGGUUGUAAACCUCUUUCAGCAGGGAAGAAGCGAAAGUGACGGUACCUGCAGAAGAAGCGCCGGCUAACUACGUGCCAGCAGCCGCGGUAAUACGUAGGGCGCAAGCGUUGUCCGGAAUUAUUGGGCGUAAAGAGCUCGUAGGCGGCUUGUCACGUCGGGUGUGAAAGCCCGGGGCUUAACCCCGGGUCUGCAUUCGAUACGGGCAGGCUAGAGUGUGGUAGGGGAGAUCGGAAUUCCUGGUGUAGCGGUGAAAUGCGCAGAUAUCAGGAGGAACACCGGUGGC